CAUCAUCGGCGAUUGAAAGAUUCCGAGUGGUGCCUGUGUUGGCUGCUACCGAAAAUUGCAGAUCAAGCAGAGAAGAUAAAAAAGAAGACAUGGUGAAGCUGGAUUUCUGAGAUUGAGAAGAUGUUGCUGCUGAGAGAAAUAUAUCGAAAUUGAGAUGAUUCAGAAAGUUGGGUUAUUGUUUGAGCUCAUGGAAGAGAUGGGUUAUGAAGAAGAAAUGAGAUCAGUAAUGGUGAUUCCGUUGUUGAUGGUGAAAUUUAUGCAGAAAGAGAUUUUAGGGUUUUUGAUUUUCUGUUAAUUUCAGAAAAAAGAGGAGAUGGAUUUGGUGGCUGAGUUCAUUAUAAAUUCUAGGGUUAGAUAUUUGUUAGGAUAGGGUUGAAAUUCAGAUGGUACGACUGAAUUGCUAAUGGAUUUGUUUCUGAAUCCGAAAUGGGUUUGAUGUGGAAUGGGUCUUGGCAGUGAAGAAGUUGAAGUCACAGGUGCAUUGGUUGAUUUGUUGGUGGUGAUACCAGACUCUGUGUUGUGUUGGACUUGGUGUUGUUGAUUGAUGAUUGAAUGGUUUUGUUGGGAUUGAAACUGGAUAUGAAAUUGGAUUUAAUUCGAAGCUGAGACAGAGAGAAGAUAUGGGUUUGUGGUAGUAUUGAGUUAGAAAUCAAGCAGUGGAGAAGAUGACGUUGGAGUGGAGAAGCUGAAAUUGAGUUGUGCUGGUGGGUUUGAGAAGUGCAUUAGAUAAAUGUAUGGCAGGGGCUUGAAUCUGAGAUGUAGAGAGGGAUUUUGGUACUGAGACUGCAAUGGAAUGAUGGUGCUGUGGUAGUGUUGGUAUGGACUGAAAAAGGUAGCUAUGAUGCUGAGAUGAGGGGAUGGUGUUGAACUGAAGAGAAUUGAAGGGCAAGUGUUGAUUACUGCAAGCAAGAGCUGUUACUAUGCAAUUAGCUCAAUUUAGGAGCUGCUGGUGAAUGCAGGAGCAGAUAAUGGUGGAGCUGAGAGAAAUGGUUGCUUGUGUUAUGAACUGAAACAGGAAUGGUGGUGAAGCUGAGUGCAUUAGUUUAGUUUGCAGUGAUUGAUUGCAGGUUGAACUUGACCUGAACUGAGCCUACUUCCUGAACAAGAGAUGUUGAAGAUGGAUGGGGAAUUGUAGGUAAUGGAUGUUAUGGAAUGGAUGCAGGUGGAGUUGGUAUUGCAGCUGCAGGUGAUGGAUUGCAGGUUGAACUGGAGCUGUGUAGUGCAGUUUAUGGUGCAGUUCCGUGAACUUGACCUGAACUGAGCCUACUGCCUGAAUAAGAGAUGGGGAAGAUAGAUGGGGAAUUGUAGGUGAUGGAUGCUAUGGAGUGGAUGCAGGUGGAUUUAGUAUUGCAGCUGCAGGUGAUGGCUUUGGUUGCAGUUGGCUACGGUUACCCAACAAGCAAGUGGUAGGCAUUGAGUAGCAGGUGUAGCUGCAGUGGUAUUUGAGCAGUGGAAGCAACUGAGGCUAGUGAGGAAAUGGUUCAUAGGAUUGUAGGAAUAAUCAUUAACUCAGUGCAUAAGCAAAUCGGGGAUUCAACUCGGCAAUUCAUUUCUGUUGAGGGCUUAAAUGACCUUUCUUUCUUGUCAGCCGGAGCUUAACACUCUUAACCAGUUGUUAGCCGUUUUUGAAUAAAACAUGGUACUUUUGAAAAGUGCAAAAACACGGGGACAUUUUAUUUACUGUAAUUCAAAAGUGGGAUACUUUAUCAAAAUUCUCUAUUCUUUUAUAAAUAAUAGAUCACCCAACCUUGUGAUA